ensembl:misc_RNA Metazoa_SRP Metazoan signal recognition particle RNA
GCUGGGUGUGGAGGUGCGCACCUGUGGUCCUAGCUUCUCAGGAGGCUGGGACUAGAGGAUUGCUUGAGCCCAGGAGGUCUAGGGUGCAGUGAGCUGUGAUCCUACCACUGCACUCCAGCCUGGACGACAGAGUGAGACCCUGUCUUAA